AAUAUCCAUGCAGUUCAAACGUUUUCAUUAGAUUCAGACAAGAAGGAGGAUGUGGGAUUGUUUUUUUUUUUCUGUAAUUGUUAAUCUCUCCAUUUUUAAAUUGUUUUUCUUAAAACACUCUUCAGAAAUAAAAUCUCAGGUAAAUCAAAGAGACGGGGAAAGUAAUUCUCUUUAAUUAUUCUUAGAGCAAUUUUGAGUAAUGUAGGUUAAAUUAAAAAAAUAUACAAGCAAGAUAUUUUGGCUGGGAAGUAUGUGUAAUGUAUGAACAGCAGGAAAAAAAAAGCCUUCCUUUCUAAAUAGAAAAUCUUUGAAAGUAACAGGGGGAAACGGAUGGGAAGGGCUGAAGUCCAUAUAUUCCCACCUCCUCCGCCUUGUGCUCUCUUAAAGGUGAGCUGCAAAAUGCAAAAGAGAAAUGUGUUAAAUUCAGAUGACUCGCUCGGGUGUCAGGAAGUGGCUCGAACAACCACACGAAGUUAACUAACACAUUCCCUUUUUUUUUUGUUCAUCCCCUCCCUCCCCUGCUCUUCUCGUGAAAUCUGGUUUUUUUUGCUGCUGUGGUUUCUGCCUCCAGGCGGGAGCGCAGCCACUUGUCCACCUGAGUGGCACCCCAAGACCCCCCCAUGGCUUGCAGAGAGCCAAGAAUUUCUGGGAUGAUCUUCCAGAAAGUAAGAAAGGAGGAGAAUUUCAGAAAAUGUAUUCCUGAUCUAAACAGCCUGGCUGCAGGAGAAAUGAGAUAAGCUCUGAGGGAUGGCACGUUGAGCUUGUGUUGCUUUGCUGCUCAUCUUUUGUCUGAUCAAUCCAUCUUAUUAUCACCCACCUGCUCUGUUCUAGGUCUUCUUCAGCAACAUGGUUCAUGCCAUUCGUGGGGUUAAGUAUCCUGGUCUCAGGAACCCAAAAUGCACUGAAGGAGCAAAACUGCAACCCACCCUGUGCAAUUCCUUGUAAACACAAUGUGCCGAGAUUUCCAACAAGCACCAUCUCUGAUAACCACAAUCAUUCCCAUUCCACUGAAACUGGUCAGAAUGAGUUUGGAGAACUGGGCAGCGCCUGAUCUUUCUGUGGAAGGAAAACGCAGCUCAGCUGAGGCAAGCAAAUAUAUGAGUCAACAUCUGAAAUGUGAUGCAGAGAAAACAUUGCAACUGCUUGGUUGAUAUCAGCUACAAAGUCAGCCUCCUUGAGCUUGCAAUAAUUUGAUGUGCAUCCAUCUUAAUUGAAGCUGAUCCAUUUCAGUCUUGGCAGCACAUUGAUAAUAAACAAGAACCAAACACCAUUUGGCAAAUUCCAAUCUACCAGCAAACCCAGGGAGGAAGCAGAAAACCUGGGAUCGUCUCCUGGAAUCAUUUCCUGGGCUGCAGCUCCGUCUUUAUGAGCCAAGCUGCUUGCAAACAACGAGGGCCUUUGUUAAAUUGUGAGCCUUGGAAGAUCGCUGUGCUCCACCUUUCAGGUAAAAGGGCUCACAGGAAGCCUUUGGGGCAGAGGAGACCCCAGUUCCACUUUCCAAGCAGGAGGAUUUUCCCAGGAGGACUCACAGCACUGGCCUUCCAGACUACAGACAACACUGAUGUCUUUUAAAGGUUUAUCAAGAGCAUCUUGCUCACGAUGGGGAGGGGGCAGCAGACUUCUGCAGCAGCCCAUCCUCUUGGUCUUGGCUUUAUUUUAGGGUGGUCUUGUGGCCACUAAGCAGACAUGAGCUAUAGAUUUACCUCCACUGGCUGCUGUUUUGGGCCACGGGAUUUUAGGCACAAGAAGCUGGUCCUGCGUGUUUUAUAGCAAGCCCAAGGCUUCACCUGCCAGCUCAGCAUAGAAAGUUUACCCAUUACCAACCUGUGGCGGUCGGGUUCCCUUUGUUCCCAGAAAACAAAGGCUCUGUGUUCACAGCUAAAUCCCUCCAUCCAAGUGUUUCCUGUAACAAAACAAAAGCCCGCUAAAUAGGAACGUUUCUCCCUCUGGGAAACGAUGCAUUCCCUCACGUUCACGGUAUGCAGUGUUCCCUUAGUUCACUGAUUUUGUUACUUUUUACAGUUCAGUUUCCAUACGCUGCUGCUCAUGUGUGGUGCCAAUGCUGCUGGUGAUGAAUUUCUCGCAGAGCUGACUUGAGCAAUGUCUCUGUAGUAAUAAUUUUCUGUCUCCCCAGCGUUUAGCUGAGUACAUUGUCUCCAAGACCUUUCACCAAGCAUCCAUCAGGAAGGAGUUCAAGCUAAGCAAGACAUUACCCCGUUCCAGAGGCUGAGCAAAGCACAUGCCUACCCUGUAACUAAUUAUUUCUAUUGGCUGAUUGGUUUUUAAUGCAUCUGUUUUACAGGUAAACAGAUUUAUCUUAGGAAGGCAUAGGUAAUAAUGAUGCUGGGGUUUUUUUAUUCAUUGCCUUCCAUCAGAGACUGAAGGGCUCCAUGCUGAAAUAGGUGUCAUUUAGCUGUACAGUCCCUUGAUUUUUGUACUUAGGCAGAAUGGGCAUCUGAGACUGCUGGGUACAAUUAGGAAAGCCUGAAAAACUUGUGGAGCCUUCUAACAAGACUCCAUAAAUGGAUGCCAUUAACCAUGUGUUCUCCAACCCCAGCUCCUCAUGAACCUCCUCUUUAUAAAAUAGAACUUUUUGUAAUUGUCAGAGUCCCUGGAGGAGCCAAUUUCUGGUGCAAGGAGCCCACAACAUGGAUUUCACAUGCAGACAGCACAAAGAGCAUCAGCUAUUUGUGAUGUUCCACUCCCCCUCCUGAUCCCAGGUAUAAAUCUCAUCGUUAAUAUUUUGGAGGCAUCUCAGCAACUGCUCUGGCAACUGUGAUGCUGCUUAUACAGUGGUUGUAUUGCAGAAACACUCACAGAGCACACAGCCCCUGGAUCAAGGAGCACACAGCCCCUGGAUCAAGGAGACCCAAAGGUCAGCGCUUGACCCAAAGUACUUAAGACUGAAACAUCAGAAGGGAAGAUGGAAGCACUGGAGACAGAAAAGCUCUGCUCACUGGUAUAAUUUAGAUGCAAUCAGGGGAUUGCAAUGAGGGAAAGGAUCUUGAAUAUCCAGUUCAGACUUACAAAUUAGGGAAAGGGAAGAAAAUCACCAAGUUAAAAUUCUUGGAGGGAGAUGUCAUAUAUGUACAUGGUAAGUAAAGCCAUGGGCAGAGAGCACUGCCUUGGUGAUGUCCUCAUCCACACCACUCCUGCCUGUGUUUUUAACUUGUUUUCAAAUAAAUGUGGGUCUUAAAACCAAAAAUCUAUUGCUAGAGGUACUCAAGAGUUGCAGUGCCUGCCUUCAAUCUAUCCUGGCCAGUCUUGGAGACCUGAGCCACAGUGAACCCAACAAGCACUCACGAGUGUUCACAUGUAACAGACCUCCUCAGGUGAAAGUGUGGUUCCCCCAUUCCUGGACUUUUCUGCUUUGGAGAGACCCUUCUUUUUCUUACCACUAAUGCAAAAAAAAAAAAAAAAAAAAAAAAAAAAAAAAAAAAAAAAAAAGAAGAAGGGCUUUCAGGGUAAAUUUUACCAGGGCCAGGUUUUCCUGCCUGCCCUCCCAGGGCUGGGGGAAGGAGGAAGACCUUUACCUGCUGCUCGCUGCUGGGCAGGGGGCACCAGGAAGGAAACAGGACCCAGCCGUCUGGCGACAGCUUUUUUCGGCUGGAUUUCGGCUCGCCUGCCAGGCUGGGGUUGCAGCUGGCUGGCCUGAUCUCCUUCCCUCCCACCGGCUCUCACUGGGAGCAGAACAUGCCUUCUCCUGCUGAUUUCUGCUUGCCAUAUUGAUUGCAGCAGGGUAUAAUGGAGACAAGUCAGGCAGAAAGCCAGCCACCCUUGGGAAUGAUUAAAGAGCAAGCAGAAAAGGAUAGAAGUGAAGAAAAACAGGCUGACACUUAGGGCAUGGUGGAUUUGGAGCAAAUUAUGCCCUUUUCCCCACCUCACCCCUGCGAGGUGCCUGGGAUGGUUCAGCAGCACCUCUAUUUCAGCUCUGCCCAAAAGAAGCAUCAUAUCGGCCCCCAUGAACGCGGGGAACAAAAUCCCCAGAACGUGUACAAUAUCCCUAUUGUGCAUGGAUUUGAAGCCUGAUUAUUCAGAGCAUAGCCAAGGAAAGGUAAGGCUAUGACCCAUUGUUUUCCUGCGAUCAAUUGAAUACUGUCAUUUGCAUUUAAAACGCUCUAAAUUCGCACUGUCAAUAUGCCAAACAGCUGCUCGAGCUUUUCAGCAUUCCAUGGUGACAAUCACACUAUCAUACAUCAUUGGCACCAGGAUUUGCAAUACUCUCAGUGUCAAAAUUUUGUGGGUUUUUUUUACGAGGGGAAAAAAAAAAAAUCCUCCCCUCCCCCCAAAAUACCCAAACCUGUGAAAAAUCCACUUUUAAAAUGAUGGCGUUGGAUGCUGCUAAGCAGGCCUUCACAGAUGCCAACAUAUCAAAAUUCAUCUCUUUUCUUCCUCUCCUACAAUUAAAAGGUAGUUAAGAAAGAGGCUGUUCCUGAUAGACCCACCUUCUGUUUUCUCCUUUGUAUGCGUAUUAUUCAUUAGCAGUCUAAUAAGAGUUUCAAAAUGCUCUGUGCCUCUGCCAGCAGGGCAUAUGUAUGUAGACAUGUGCUUGUGACAGAUAAGUACAUAAACAGCAUAUUGGCACCAGAAAGACAUCUGUGCCUAGAAAAACGCUUGUGAUAUGUACAUAAAUGACAUUUUAGCUCUAGUCAAGUCCUUGUGGCUUUGAGAGGAAUAUGUGACUGUACUCUUCUCUGUGAAUACUGAAAAGGUGCGCCUCAGACGGGAGAGUUUUCCCGAGGUUUGUGGGGAGAUGGGGAACAGGCCGGGCUGCAGCCAGGUUGCGGCAGACGGUGGGAGCGCCGUGCCAGGGGAGGGUGGGCGCUGCCUCUGGCGCUGCCGCGGGGGGAAGCACCCGGCACCCCCAAACCUGACUCGGUGCAUCCGACGGGAUGUGCCUGCGGGGCGGCGCUGCCAACGCGGCCCAGAUCCACCGGUGCGAAGGGAAUCAAAUCUUGGACCAAAAAGCCAAGGGUGAUCCAGGGUCGGGGGGUAUAGGGAGGGCUCCCUGCAGCACUUUCUGCUAACUGCAUUUUAUUAUCUGGCUGAAGUCUGAGUGUAUUCCCUUCACAACUGGCUUCUACAGCAGAAAAGGGACAUUUUGGACUCUAACAGAAGGGGACUGAGCAUCCCAUCUUCUGGGAUCAUUCCCAGAUGGCACAGACACUGUAGGUCUGCUCACACCACUUGGUUUAGGCUCGUAAUGCCUCAGUUUGCCCAUUCCUGGUGACAGAUCCCUGACUUGGAGCUUUAAUGAGCACUGGAAAUGUUGUGGCUGGGAGGUUACAGGCGAGAGGUCUAUGGUCCCAGGAAAACCUAGACAUUACUUGCAUGUAGUCUGGGUGAGGGAGGAGAGAGAGAAGAUGCAAAAUUGGCAGCACUUCAGUAUUCACCACACACACAGAGCAGUAAAUAUGAACUUGGCUUCCUGAUUCAGGGCACUGAAGCCAAAGUCUGGGAUAUAUGGGAGCCCUUAUGUCCCAGUGACAUCACCCCAAGUGGGGAACUUCAGCCUAAAUUGUGAGGUCAACCAUGUCUUUCCUGAGUUUACCCCAGGAGGUUUGGGUGCUCCAGCACUCUCCAUUCCUGGCUUUCUGAAAUUACAAAUCCACUGUAGAUUUCAUUUGAUCCAGUAAAGUAAAUCCUGAAAGGAAAUGAGUGUCCUAAUCUGUCACUGACUCCAGGUUCAUGAAGAUUCACCUGUGCUGGACCAUGAAAGAGCAGCUGCACCUGCAUGAAAACCUCCUGGGAUGUGGCAUUUAGACAGACAUCGGGGUGGUCGCUGCUGCUCAAGAGCUUGCCUGUGGUGAAAAUGGCCUCACUUCCUUGGGUCUGACACGAAGAGGAGAGAAACAGCAAAAUAUUUCUUGCUGGAAAUCAGGAUGGGUCCUCGGACUUUGCUGAGCCUGUUUGUUGACGUGACCUGAGUUCGCGGCUCCCCGGGUGGAUGGGGGUCUCACACCUCCAACAUGAUGGAUGGAACAACAGUGGUGGAUGAGCUGUUACUUGCCUGAAAAAAAGUGUUUUGGGGGAAAAUUGUCUCCAGUCAUUCUCAUUUUGCAUGUGAUUUUUCCUACAUAUGCUUCUAAUCAUUAAGAAAUUCUGUAGCUUAAAUAAUGCUCUGAAAGUACGGUAACUGUUGGACUACAUUCUGUUGUAACCUUAUUGAAUUUCACUUCUCUGGAAAAAAUAAUGGGAUACUAUAUCUUGAAAAACAAAUGGUAAUUGCA